AGAGCUGGCCACACUAUAUAACCUUUGCAUCAUCACCUCCAUCGCCCACCUGCCCCUCCACCACCACACACAGCCCCAGCCUCCUCUGGCUACACCUUGUUCUUGGUCACAUAGUUCUAGCACAUGGAAAUAAAUUGGAGGUAGCAGCAUACCUCUUCUUCCUAAGAUCAUCUCCAUCAUCUUGUGACCAAAGGAGAAAAUAACUCCCCAGCUGUCAGUGGCUUUCUCAGCUGCCAACACAAGAACCUGAGCAUACAGAGGAAUUAAGGACAGAGAGUCAACAUGCACAUUUCUGCUUAUACCACGUGGGCUUCUGCUGGUGGUCAUGAUGCUUCCCAGAUGUUCACAAACCAACCGGGAGGAUAUUGAAGAGCCACUAGAGAAAUAGUUGUACCACCCUUGAGAACCACUGCCUCAGAGGACACUUUAACAAAUGCCAGGGGGGCCUGAGUUCUAUCCCUGGUGAGGAACCUAGAUCCUACAAGAAGCCACAACUAAAAGAUUCUGCAUGCCACAACUAAGACCCAGCACAGCCAAAAAAAAAAAAAAAAUUAAAGCUACUCCCCAUUCCCUUUCCCCUGACAUUUCUACUCCAGACGCUUAAAAGUCAAACCGCGGCUUUUGUAGCUUUUUGUUUAGCUACGGAUGGUGACAGGAUAGCACUGUUA
ensembl:lncRNA